rnacentral:rRNA from 1 species
CAGCAGCCGCGGUAAUACGGAGGAUGCAAGUGUUAUCCGGAAUCACUGGGCGUAAAGCGUCUGUAGGUGGUUUAAUAAGUCGACUGUUAAAUCUUGAGGCUCAACUUCAAAAUCGCAGUCGAAACUUUUAGACUAGAGUAUAGUAGGGGUAAAGGGAAUUUCCAGUGGAGCGGUGAAAUGCGUAGAUAUUGGAAAGAACACCGAUGGCGAAAGCACUUUACUGGGCUAUUACUAACACUCAGAGACGAAAGCUAGGGUAGCAAAUGGGAUUAGAUACCCCAGUAGUCCUAGCCGUAAACUAUGGAUACUAGAUGUUGAGCAGAUCGACCUGUGCAGUAUCAAAGCUAACGCGUUAAGUAUCCCGCCUGGGAAGUAUGCUCGCAAGAGUGAAACUUAAAGGAAUUGACGG